CUGGUGUGCUACAGCUCAUGGGAUCACAAAGAGUUGGUCACAACUGAGCAACUGAAUGAUAUAAUAUAUAUGUGUAUAUACAUAUAUAUAUAUCAGUGACUUUGCAACGUCUAAUAUAAGGUUUUGAGAAUCAGACCUCCCCACUGGAUGGAUUCCAGUCAAUAGAAGAUGCAGGACCCUGAAGAUGGAACUUCAAGGGGUUUCAAAGAGCAGAGGCAAACCUUGAACUCCUUAAAGGAUGGGAUGUAGGAGAUGGCAAGAGAACCAGAGCUGGAGAGUCACUGAGAACUAAGUCAGGGACCAGAGUCCUACAGAAGUUGUAUUGGGCAGCAGCUCAAAAUUCUCAGAAGUGUAGUGGCAAUUUAGGGAGACUCAAGGGGGGCCUCCCUGGUAGCUCAGCUGGUAAAGAAUCCUCACGCAGGAGAGGAGGUUCAAUGCAGGAGACCCUGGUUCAAUUCCUGGGUCAGGAAGAUCCCAUGGAGAAGGGAUAGGCUAUACCCACUCCAGUAUUCUGGCCUGGAAAAUUCCAUGGACUGUAUAGUUCAUGGGGUCUCAAAGAAUCGGACACGGCUAAAUGACUUUCAGGGUUUGUAGGAAAAACCCAAAGAAAGCAAGUCUUUGUAGCUGGAUAGAUGGGGUGAGCAUCUGACCUUUGUGCAUCAUUUUUCAGGGAAUGACGAUAGGGUGAAACUUCCCACCCGCCUUAUGACCAAGGGUGCAUAGUUGUGUGGCUUUAUUCCCAUCAUUGUUUGGACCAGUAAAUUAACUGGCCUUAUUUGCAUAAAUAUAAGACUAAAAAUAAGCUAAAAGAAACAUGGGCCACCUACCAUAAACAGGAAACUGCUAGCUUCACUAAACAGUUAAAAACCCAUAAAUACAUAAAAACCACAAUGAUGACAUGUAUUGCUAUAAGAAGGCUGAUGGAUCAAAGCCUGGAAAAUAAUUUGAUAUUGUAAGUCAAGAGAAGUUGAAAAAGUUUAUGUCUUUUGAUUAAUAACUUUAGUUCUAGAAAUCUAUUGGAGGGGGAAUCAUCAGUGUGGACAAAGAUGUGAGUUAAGGAUGUUUAUCAAAAUGUUAUUUAUGUUGGCAAAAAUUACAGCCAAUAAAAAGGAAAAGGACAGAAGGAAGAAAGGAAAUAACCCAAGUAUUCAACAGUGAGGAAAUGUUUAAAGAAGUUACGGCAUGCACGUUUGAUGUAACUGCAUGGCUAUUAAAAGCCAUGUUUUUGAAAAAUAUUUAAUGACCUGAAAAAUGUUUCUGAUGUAGUGAGUGAGAUACAAAAUUACAUAUGCAAUUGUAGUCUUGCCCAGUUUUGUAUAUACAUAUAUAUUGAAUAUUUAUCCUGAAAAGUACAUAUAAAAACUUGGAAGGACAUACAGACAAGUUUAAAAGUUACUUGUAGGACUUCCCUGGUAGUUUAGUGGUUAAAACUUCCGUUGCAGGGAGCGUGGGUUUGAUCCGUGGUUGGGGAACUAAGAUUCUGCAUGCCACACAGUGUGGCCAAAAUUUUUUAAAAUAAGUAAAAAUUAAUAAAAAGUUAUAUGUGUUUGUUGGAAUAUUAGAUAAUUUUUAUUUUCUUCUUUGUCUCAAAGUAUUUGUCAAAUUUCUAUAAUGAUUAUAUUAUUGUAAACAAUAACCUGUAUAUUUAGAGAGCAAGACCUGGGUUUCUUAUUUAUUCUACAGUCAAUAGUGAAAAGACCCAAGCCAGGCCUUCGAGGACCUUCCAGUUUGCAGGAGAAACAGCCAAGCAAACAGGGACAGGAAGUUACGCUACAGAAUGCAAUUAUUCCUCCUCCCCUGGAAACUUUUGAAGACCUAGGAGGAAAGAGGAACCAAGCAUUUUGGUUGCUGAUGAUUUGGGCUCUGGGUUGAAUAGACUAUCUAUUGUGAAAGUGUAUUGUGCAAAAAGAGAAUGGGGCUUUUUGUGAAGGGAGAUAAAGAGAGUGUGGGGUGGGGACUGGGAGGGUGGGGGAGGAGGAGGCAGGCCUGGAAGCGGGGUGAGUGGACUGUGAGCAGAGCGGUCCUGAAGGUCCCCCUAAGUCAUCCUCCCCACCCUUCACCUGGGUCCCAGUGUCCAGGCUAGCAGCUUACCUGGCUUUGCAUUCUUAACAGGGCCUCAGUCAAUGCUCUGUCAGUGUUUAUCGUCCAUAAGAACAGAUGAAUGAAUGAGCAUGUAACCUCAGGGAUCACCCUCAUGAAUAUCCUUUAAGGCAUUAAUGAAACAUGUUGUCUGAAGAAGAAAGACUCCAUUGUGAAACCACAAUGAUGAGCGAGGCAGGAAGGGAAUUGAACGUCUCCUCUCCACCAAGACAACAAGGCUGUUAAGGAUGGGUGCCAUGGCUGCCAUCUUGCUGUUUCAGGAAAGUGAGGCCAACGUGAAGGAGAACAGAGCUGAGAAACGGGACUUGGAAUUAAUCGUCCUGUGAUCCUUUGAUCCAGCUGCACCUGAAGCUCCACCUACACUGAGGUUUUAGUUCUAUGCAUCAAUAAAUACACUUUGGUUAAA